UACAAUAUGCUUGUUUAAGAGACUAAGCCAUGCAAUUGUAGGAACAAAAAAUCUGAGAACGGCUCAAUAAAACAGUUGUAACUCUGUAACGUUGUUGUUAUGGUACCCCCAUAAUGGAUAACCCACAUAACUUGCGGGAUAAUACAUGUCUAUAUUUGUGCAAUGCACUCAGAAUAACCUUUCUUGGAUUUGAGGUUAUUACAGCGCUCUCUCACGGGAGUGUGCUGUACUCUGGUUUACUGUGAAAGCAGAUUUUGUAGUUUGUAGGUCGUUGAUAGCGGCCGAGACUCUACUCAAGACAGAGACAACGUUAUGGGCUUCUUACCUAUCAGCCUUUGAUGUGCACCUUUAGUGUUCACAUGGCUGCAACGGGUCCGAAGGAUCAUCGUCUGAUUUCGGAGAGGGAGCGUGAGAAGAGGCUAUCACAUCUAAGGACGGCAGCAGGCGCGCAAACUACCCAAUUUCAAUUCGAAGAGGUGGUGACAAGGAAUAACGACCUUCGUCCUAUAGGCGGAGGGUAUUUCGCAAGAGAUUUGUAAUGGUUGCAUGUUAAAUCUUUGUGAGAUUAACAAUUA
rnacentral:rRNA from 1 species